AGGACGAACGCUGGCGGCGUGCUUAACACAUGCAAGUCGAGCGGUAGGGCCUUUCGGGGUACACGAGCGGCGAACGGGUGAGUAACACGUGGGUGAUCUGCCCUGCACUCUGGGAUAAGCCUGGGAAACUGGGUCUAAUACCGGAUAUGACCUGCUCUCGCAUGGGGGGUGGGUGGAAAGAUUUAUCGGUGCAGGAUGGGCCCGCGGCCUAUCAGCUUGUUGGUGGGGUAAUGGCCUACCAAGGCGACGACGGGUAGCCGACCUGAGAGGGUGACCGGCCACACUGGGACUGAGACACGGCCCAGACUCCGUACGGGAGGCAGCAGUGGGGAAUAUUGCACAAGUGGGACGAAAGCCUGAUGCAGCGACGCCGCGUGAGGAUGACGGUCCGUUCGGGUUACGUAAACCUCUUUACAGACGAGGGACGAAGCGACAAGUCGACCGGUACCUGACGAGAAAGAACGACCGACCGGACUAACCGUACGUCGACCGA
rnacentral:rRNA from 1 species